GGCCCUGAGAGGGGGAUCCCCCACACUGGUACUGAGACACUGCCCAGACACCUACGGGUGGCUGCAGUCGAGAAUCUUCGGCAAUGGGCGCAAGCCUGACCGAGCGACGCCGCGUGUGGGAUGAAGGCCUUCGGGUUGUAAACCACUGUCAGAGGGGAUGAAAUGCAGGUGGGUUCUCCCAUCUGUUUGACAUAGCCUCAGAGGAAGGACGGGCUAAGUUCGUGCCAGCAGCCGCGGUAAGACGAACCGUCCAAACGUUAUUCGGAAUCACUGGGCUUAAAGGGUGCGUAGGCGGCGCGGAAAGUUGGGUGUGAAAUCCCUCGGCUCAACCGAGGAACUGCGCCCAAAACUACCGUGCUCGAGGGAGAUAGAGGUGAGCGGAACUUAGGGUGGAGCGGUGAAAUGCGUUGAUAUCCUAAGGAACACCGGUGGCGAAAGCGGCUCACUGGAUCUCUUCUGACGCUGAGGCACGAAAGCUAGGGUAGCGAACGGGAUUAGAU
rnacentral:rRNA from 1 species